AUUCACUUUCGCCUAAAUUGGCGCUCGUGGCUUGCUUGCGACGACCACGCCGCUGCAGGGAUGAAGCUAGUGAGGAGUGGAUGUCAGUAUGAACACGCAUCUUAAAGCUGUUAAAGUAACCCUGAAAAACAGAGAACCUAUACAAUUGGAAACACUGAGUAUUCCACAUUUGAUACUUAAUUUUGCCAGAUAGUUUACCUCUGGAUACACUACUUGUAGAUGUUGAACAUAAAGUUAAAUCUAAGAAGAGGGAAACAGAGCACCCAUGUGUAAGGGUAUGACUCCCCACAUGGACAGAGGGACAAGAAGGGAG